AUUUUAAAAAAUAAAUAAAUAAUUAAAUCAGAUAAAUUAUGAUUCAUUCAUUCAUAUCAGCAGAUAAGCAAAUCAUAGUGGCAAUAGUAAGUAUUGAUGACAGAUGAUAAAAUACCAGAGCAUCCAUGAAAAUGGGUCAACAAAAUUCAGGCCGAGUGGCGACUAGCCCCAAUGACGUGUAUCCAAUCCAAUGCAAUUAGCAACAUUAAAAUUUGAUAUCUAGUUUCGUCUUUUGUGGCGCUUGAUAGCUUUGUUGCUACCAACGACUGAAAUAAAAUGUUAAGAGCAUCUCAAUAUGCCUACUAGUUUCCUUAAAUCACACAUCAUGUUACACUUACCUUUACAAACACGAAGGACUUUAAAUUAAAUCAUAUUUUUACACACGACGAAUGGCGACUCAAAUCUUCUAUUGUGUAUGGUUAUACAAGUGUGCGGUAAACCAAACAGGAUAGAGAAUUGCCGGGUUUAAAAAACAUAAUGUAACUGUGGAAACAUUUUAUCUGGAAGGUAAAAACUCAAUUCGAAAAAUAGU